rnacentral:rRNA from 1 species
AGACAGCAGUCGCCACGGUAAUACGUAGGUGGCAAGCGUUGUCCGGAAUUAUUGGGCGUAAAGGGCUCGCAGGCGGUUUCUUAAGUCUGAUGUGAAAGCCCCCGGCUCAACCGGGGAGGGUCAUUGGAAACUGGGAAACUUGAGUGCAGAAGAGGAGAGUGGAAUUCCACGUGUAGCGGUGAAAUGCGUAGAGAUGUGGAGGAACACCAGUGGCGAAGGCGACUCCCUGGUCUGUAACUGACGCUGAGGAGCGAAAGCGUGGGGAGCGAACAGGAUUAGAUACCCGUGUAGUCCCUGUCUCUUAUAC